rnacentral:rRNA from 1 species
AUGAACGCUGGCGGCGUGCCUAAUACCUGCAAGUCGAGCGAACGGACGAGAAGCUUGCUUUUCUGAUGUUAGCGGCGGACGGGUGAGUAACACGUGGAUAACCUACCUAUAAGACUGGGAUAACUUCGGGAAACCGGAGCUAAUACCGGAUAAUAUUUUGAACCGCAUGGUUCAAAAGUGAAAGACGGUCUUGCUGUCACUUAUAGAUGGAUCCGCGCUGCAUUAGCUAGUUGGUAAGGUAACGGCUUACCAAGGCAACGAUGCAUAGCCGACCUGAGAGGGUGAUCGGACACACUGGAACUGAGACACGGUCCAGACUCCUACGGGAGGCAGCAGUAGGGAAUCUUCCGCAAUGGGCGAAAGCCUGACGGAGCAACGCCGCGUGAGUGAUGAAGGUCUUCGGAUCGUAAAACUCUGUUAUUAGGGAAGAACAUAUGUGUAAGUAACUGUGCACAUCUUGACGGUACCUAAUCAGAAAGCCACGGCUAACUACGUG